AUCAUUGUCAACUUGUCAAUCCUAUCACCUUGGUAAAAUGACCAGAUCGUAUUUUGUUGGAAAAAGUGAUCAAGCUAAUGAUGUUCUAAGUCUAAUACAUACUGAUGUAUUGGAUCUACGAUCAUAUUUGUCAUAAAUUUAGAUUAUUUAAAAUAUUUAAAUAAUUUUAUAAAAAAUUAGAUAAACAAGCUGAGAAGAGUAUUGAAACUUUUUGGUCAGACCAAGAGGAGAAUACUUUUCUAGUGAAUUUAUGACAUAUCUAGA
rnacentral:lncRNA from 1 species